GAGAAAGAAAGAAAGACUGCUAAUCUUUCAAACCACUUAUAAGAAAUGGCUUUCUCA
rnacentral:tRNA from 1 species